AAGACUGUACUUUCAGGGAUCAUUUCUAUAGUUUGUGACUUGAGAAAUGUGUUUCUAAAGUGUAUGGUCUCGCUGCCCACGAUGAAGAGUUGAUGAUGCUCCUUCUUGAACAUGAAGAAAGUAGAGACUUGGUUCAUCCAUGUUCUCUGCUACUGAUGACUGUUCACUGUUUCUUCAAUUAACAGUGAAGAAAGGAGUAUGAUCUGAGUGGGU
ensembl:snoRNA